UACGUAGGGGGCAAGCGUUGUCCGGAUUUACUGGGCGUAAAGAGCGUGUAGGCGGCCAAGCAGGUCCGUUGUGAAAACUGGAGGCUUAACCUCCAGACGUCGACGGAAACCGCGUGGCUAGAGUCCGGAAGAGGAGAGUGGAAUUCCUGGUGUAGCGGUGAAAUGCGCAGAUAUCAGGAAGAACACCAAUGGCGAAGGCAGCUCUCUGGGACGGUACUGACGCUGAGACACGAAAGCGUGGGGAGCAAACGGG
rnacentral:rRNA from 1 species